rnacentral:miRNA from 1 species
AUGCAAUUUCGUUGGUUGAU